rnacentral:rRNA from 1 species
AGCCUUAGGAUAUCAUCUAAGGUCAGACCUGCCCAAUGUAAAUUACAAAUGAAUGGCCGCGGUACUUUGACCGUGCUAAGGUAGCGCAAUCAAUUGGCUUUUAAUUGGGGCCAGGUAUGAAUGGAGUCACGGGGUUAUACUGUCUCUUAAUUAUUUUAUCUAAAUUACUAUGUAGGUGAAAAAGCCUAUAAAAAGAAAAAGGACGAGAAGACCCUUAGAGUUUUACUAAAUUGGAUUGAAAUUAAAUCUUAACAGUUUUGUUGGGGCAACAUAGGAGCAGUGGUGUAGUACGAAUCUCCUGAAAAUUACAAAUCGAUUAUUAGAAUUGAAUAAAUUACCUUAGGGAUAACAGCAUAAUUUUAUAAAUAAGUUUGUGACCUCGAUGUUGGACUAGGAAGCUGAGGGGCUAGCCGCCUUUCAGGUAAGUUCUGUUCGAACUAUAAAUUCC